ACUAGUACCGUGAGGGAAAGGCGAAAAGAACCCCGGAGAGGGGAGUGAAAUAGAUCCUGAAACCGUAUGCGUACAAGCAGUGGGAGCAGACUUUGUUCUGUGACUGCGUACCUUUUGUAUAAUGGGUCAGCGACUUAUUUUCAGUGGCGAGCUUAACCGAAUAGGGGAGGCGUAGCGAAAGCGAGUCUUAAUAGGGCGUCUAGUCGCUGGGAAUAGACCCGAAACCGGGCGAUCUAUCCAUGGGCAGGUUGAAGGUUGGGUAACACUAACUGGAGGACCGAACCGACUACCGUUGAAAAGUUAGCGGAUGACCUGUGGAUCGGAGUGAAAGGCUAAUCAAGCUCGGAGAUAGCUGGUUCUCCUCGAAAG
rnacentral:rRNA from 1 species